rnacentral:rRNA from 1 species
GACGAACGCUGGCGGCGUGCUUAACACAUGCAAGUCGAACGGAAAGGCCCUGCUUUUGUGGGGUGCUUGAGUGGCGAACGGGUGAGUAACACGUGAGUAACCUGCCCUUGACUUUGGGAUAACUUCAGGAAACUGGGGCUAAUACCGGAUAGGAGCUCCUGCUGCAUGGUGGGGGUUGGAAAGUUUCGGCGGUUGGGGAUGGACUCGCGGCUUAUCAGCUUGUUGGUGGGGUAGUGGCUUACCAAGGCUUUGACGGGUAGCCGGCCUGAGAGGGUGACCGGCCACAUUGGGACUGAGAUACGGCCCAGACUCCUACGGGAGGCAGCAGUGGGGAAUAUUGCACAAUGGGCGGAAGCCUGAUGCAGCAACGCCGCGUGCGGGAUGACGGCCUUCGGGUUGUAAACCGCUUUCGCCUGUGACGAAGCGUGAGUGACGGUAAUGGGUAAAGAAGCACCGGCUAACUACGUGCCGGCAGCCGCGGUGAUACGUAGGGUGCGAGCGUUGUCCGGAUUUAUUGGGCGUAAAGGGCUCGUAGGUGGUUGAUCGCGUCGGAAGUGUAAUCUUGGGGCUUAACCCUGAGCGUGCUUUCGAUACGGGUUGACUUGAGGAAGGUAGGGGAGAAUGGAAUUCCUGGUGGAGCGGUGGAAUGCGCAGAUAUCAGGAGGAACACCAGUGGCGAAGGCGGUUCUCUGGGCCUUUCCUGACGCUGAGGAGCGAAAGCGUGGGGAGCGAACAGGCUUAGAUACCCUGGUAGUCCACGCUGUAAACGGUGGGUACUAGGUGUGGGGUCCAUUCCACGGGUUCCGUGCCGUAGCUAACGCUUUAAGUACCCCGCCUGGGGAGUACGGCCGCAAGGCUAAAACUCAAAGGAAUUGACGGGGCCCCGCACAAGCGGCGGAGCAUGCGGAUUAAUUCGAUGCAACGCGUAGAACCUUACCUGGGUUUGACAUGGAUCGGGAGUGCUCAGAGAUGGGUGUGCCUCUUUUGGGGUCGGUUCACAGGUGGUGCAUGCCUGUCGUCAGCUCGUGUCGUGAGAUGUUGGGUUAAGUCCCGCAACGGGCGCAACCCUUGUUCACUGUUGCCAGCACGUUAUGGUGGGGACUCAGUGGAGACCGCCGGGGUCAACUCGGAGGAAGGUGGGGAUGACGUCAAGUCCUCAUGCCCCUUAUGUCCAGGGCUUCACGCAUGCUACAAUGGCUGGUACAGAGAGUGGCGAGCCUGUGAGGGUGAGCGAAUCUCGGAAAGCCGGUCUCAGUUCGGAUUGGGGUCUGCAACUCGACCUCAUGAAGUCGGAGUCGCUAGUAAUCGCAGAUCAGCAACGCUGCGGUGAAUACGUUCCCGGG